ACUGGUUUUCUGGAUUUGCUC
rnacentral:siRNA from 1 species